GACGAACGCUGGCGGCGUGCUUAACACAUGCAAGUCGAACGGAAAGGCCCUGCUUGCAGGGUACUCGAGUGGCGAACGGGUGAGUAACACGUGGGUGAUCUGCCCUGCACUUCGGGAUAAGCCUGGGAAACUGGGUCUAAUACCGGAUAGGAGCCAUUUUUAGUGUGAUGGUUGGAAAGUUUUUUCGGUGUAGGAUGAGCUCGCGGCCUAUCAGCUUGUUGGUGGGGUAAUGGCCUACCAAGGCGGCGACGGGUAGCCGGCCUGAGAGGGUGGACGGCCACAUUGGGACUGAGAUACGGCCCAGACGCCUACGGUAGGCAGCAGUGGGGAAUAUUGCACAAUGGGCGCAAGCCUGAUGCAGCGACGCCGCGUGGGGGAUGACGGCCUUCGGGUUGUAAACUCCUUUCGCUAGGGACGAAGCUUUUUGUGACGGUACCUAGAUAAGAAGCACCGGCUAACUACGUG
rnacentral:rRNA from 1 species